rnacentral:lncRNA from 1 species
UGUCAUCAUGUCUUCCUGUGUCUGGUGCAGUGUCUUUGAAAUGCAAAACAUCAAACCAUGUGCUGAACUGGAAUAUCAAGAGCAUAAGAGAUCCAGAACCUGUAUGGACGAGACUCUCUGGAGCCAUUUCAGAGAACUGAAAUUCCGUCAUGCACACAGUUGAUCCCACACGAAGGCCACGCAGCAGGACGCCUCCAGCUGUGCCAAGAGCGCCCCACCACCACGCAUGUGACUGCCACCGCAAUGCCCAGUCUGUUCCCAGCCCUGGCCCUCAGUGCUUAUCUCAUCACAUUGCUGUUUGAGGGGAAGAAACUGCCCAGCAAGCCUUAAAAACUGGAGCUCCGAGUUAUCCUCCCUUCCUCACCUGCUUAAUGCCUUCUCAGGCUUUUUUUGGA